CGUGAGUGUCCGCGUCAGCCGGCGCGACGCGACCCGACGUGGGCAGGGAGCCCAAGACGCCCGAGGGACUAAAAGACGGGCCUCUUCUCCGGCCUCAACGAUUGGCGAACGGCUCCGGAGGUUGCUGCGCCUGCGCCGAGCUCGCCGAGCGGCCCUCUGGGGCCGAGGCUGUUUUUUAUCGGGGAAAUCCGCACUGCUUAGUACGCCUGCGCCGUGCCCGCAGCCUCCGGCGACCCCUAGGUACCGGGAGGUCGCUGGGUAAGUGUAGUCGGCCGGCGCGUCCUCGCCGGGAGUACUGGCGACGAGUGGAAUAAGGGAAGGAAAGUCAGGGGAUUGAGAGAAUUUGGAAUUGAAAAUAAAUUUGGAUUAAAAAACAAUAGGAACUUUAGGAAGAGAGGCAAAAGCCAGAAGACUACAUAGAACCAUUAGAGAAAGAGAACUGUUUGGAAAAGUAAAGACUCGGACUCAGAGUCGCAAUGGCCUGAUGCAGGAAUACUCCUAGCAAGACACAGCCAACAAAGCAGAUCUUUCUUCUGCAGAAGACUGAAUCUGAAAAAGCCAUCAUGCUGGAUAUAAUUGAAAAGAAAAGCAAGUCAAAGAGCAUGACUUAAGUUUCUGCUACAAACCAGGCAAACACUAAAUUGUUCUGACAGAAGCUACCCUCUGCAAUGUCACCUGCAGGAAAUAGGGCUGGAAACAUAUCCCCAAAGAUCCCUAGAAUAGUAAGCCUGAAGUCAUCACCAUUUGCUUAUGAGCCCCUUCUACCUGGACUGGGGAUUUCUUUUCUUUUUUAAUUAAUUGUUUUAUUUUGUCUGGCCAUAUGUGUAUAUUAACUUUUUUAAAUACACAUUUCUUCAUGUAUCAUGUUGGGAGAGAAAAAUCAGAACAAAAGGGAAAAACCAUGGAAAAGAAGGAAAAAAAAAACAGAAAAAAGAAGUGAAUAUAGUGUAUGUGAGUUUACAUUUAAUCUCUAUAGUUCUAUUUCUCACACAUGGCAUUUUCUAUCCAGAGUUUAUUGGGACUGCCUGGACUCGGGAUUUCUUGCAGGAAUAAUGUGAAAAUUGAAACUGUCAUGACCUGGUGUAUUGGGCAAUAUAUAGUAUAGUGACCAUUAUUUAUACUUGCAUAAGAAGAAACAUGGGGGAAAUACUUUGCCAACCAAUGCAAGGACAAGUACUUGGCAGAUUGAUAGACAAGGACCAUUUAUCCACAAUUGGCUUCUAGAGGUUUUCCAUGACCAUACCUUGGUAUAUUCAAACCCAGCAUCCAUCUGUAGUGUCAGACCCAAUUCUACUCUAUUCAGAAUAUGAAUGGGAGACUUAAGCAUCAAGCUGGGACUUAAUACCUGAACAUCUUGACCAUCCAUACAGCUUGUGCACAAAAAGUGAAAGAAUCAAUAGAAGGAAUUCAGUUAAAGGUUAGUCAUGUUUUUAUGGGAGAUAUGCCUGGGAAUAUCUCACAGAAUUUCUUACCUUUGUUGUGAGUGAUUUAGGUGCAGUUAUUCUGUGCACGAACUGGAGUUUUUGGUUUUGAAGUAAGCUAUCCCUUCAGGGACAUUUCUAAAAGAACAAACUUAAAUAUCCAUCAUAGAGUAAUAGACAUAGAACUGAAAGAACACUAAAAGUCUUUUAACAUAACCCUCCUCAUUUUAUAGAUAAAGAAACUAAAUCCCAAAAGGAUAAAGUGAUUUCCCAAAAUCACACAGGAAGUCAACAUCCGAGUUGGAAUUUGGACCCAGAUCCUCUUAACUUCAGAGAUCUGAAAAUAAAGCGUGUCCUUUUCAGUAACUUUUAGAGGCACAUAUCUUCCAAGAAAUUUAGUAAUACAAACAUUUUAAAAAGAUUUUAGUCAUUUAAUAAUUUGUAUUAUAACUGACACCAACAGAAGUAAACAGAACAUGGAAAAGAAUUCUGAAUAAAACAAUAGAAUCUAUAUUAUUUAUGUUUGUGUUAAAAUAAUAUCCAGGGCCAUCUCCAGUCACCUUCAUCUAUAUCUUGCCACUAGACCCAGAUGGCUUUGAAGGGGAAAGUAAAGCAGGUGUUGAAAUAUCAGUUUAAUUGCCUCUUCUGGCCAUUUAUGUAUUUAUCUUUUAUGAUUUAUCAUUAAUAAUAUUUAAUAUCAAUACAAUAAAUUAAACUUGCUUUAAAAAAGCUAUAUUUAAUUUCCAUUGUGGAACAGCUACAAUCCAAUGAUUUGGUCUCUGUUUUGACUAUUGCUAAAUUUGAUACUGCCUGCAGUCACAUGGAAGUAGAGUUGAGUUUGAAACUCCUGCCAGAUAAAAUGUCAACAACUUAUGUAAACCUUGUUUCAUUGAAUCCUAUUUGUUCGAUUUUUCUCUCCCCCUUACCAGCAAGGAUAGAUAACUGAUGAAAGUCUGGGAGGAAUGAUUAAAGCCUAGAUACAAGAAAAUAAACCUCAAAAUUUAUUCUCUAUAGGGCAGCUAAUGCUGAGGCAAUGACAUAAGUUGGAGUAUUGGAACUGAGAACACACAUGAAUGAAUAAAAAGCAUGUAUUAAGUAUUAUAUUCUAAGCACUUUGCUAAGUAGAAAUAGAAAUGGAAGCAGAAAAAAGGAUUGAUUCUGCUCCCACUACUAAUGGAAGAGAAAACAGGUAAUAGUAAGUUCAACCUAGUUAACUUCAACUGCUCAAGGCUAGAACAAGCUAUGGAAGGGGGUGUUUGCCCAGCACAUACUACUUAGCACUCACAGGUCCCCAGUGUUCAUACUAUUCAUUAUAUUGUGAGCCCCUGGAGGGCAGGGACUAGCUUGGCUUUCUUAGCACAGUGCCUGGAAGAGAAAUAAGCCUUUAUAUGUGCUGAGCUCUUUUUACAAAUAUUUGACCCUCAAUCCUAUAGUAGGUGCUAUUUUACAGUUGAAGGAACUGAGACAAGUGAAGUGACAUGGAGAUUCACACAACUGGAUUUGAACUUGGGUCUUCCUGACUCCAGGCCCAAUUCUCUAUUCGCCAUACCAUCACCUGCCUCACAGUGACUGGCAUGUGCCCAGCACCUAGUAGACACAAAAAUAUAUGUUUACUGAUUGACAUAAAGGCUGGUUUUAAUGUAGUCAAAAUGAAUGAAUUUUAUUUUUUUUAUUUAAUAGCCUUUUAUUUACAGGUUAUAUGUAUGGGUAACUUUACAGCAUUGAUAAUUGCCACACCUCUUGUUCCAAUUUUUCCCCUCUUUCUCCCCACCCCCUCCCCCAGAUGGCAGAAUUACCAGUAGAUGUUAAAUAUAUUAAAAUAUAAAUUAGAUACACAAUAAGUAUACAUGACCAAACCGUUAAAAUGAGUGACUUUUAAAAAAAAAAGUUUUACUCACAAAGAAUUUGAGAUAUCUAUUAUAUGAGACUUCCCACAUCACUUAGCAUUUUUCCUAUUUAAAUCGUCUCUUAAAAAGCAGAAUUAUUAAAGAGAGUUGUAAACUGACUUUAGGUAAGGCUGAAGAUAUUAUUCAGCUAGAGGGUCACAGGGUCAGAACCUCAGGCUAGUGCAACCUUAAUCCAGCCUUAAAUGUAGCCACUUAUUUGCUACAAUUAUAUUCACAAAUGUGGCUAGUUUUGAAGCACCAAAAGAUACUUUGUUGCUUUGGGAAGGGGUAGGGGAAUAGGGAACAAAACAGACUUAGCAAUAAGCUAAGUAACAUUUUAAUAACUUGGAGACCAAAAGGAAGUAGGGAUUUCUUUUUGUCCUUCAUUUCCCCUUCUCCAUUUUGUUUCUGCUUAGUGUCUAGACUCCCAUGAAGCCCUAGAGGUAAUUCUGGAAAUGGAAAGUUGAAUGUCUCAAAAGCAUAUUGUUCUGUGGCUAUGAAGGUUAUUCCAUGACUUUGGACAAAAGGGGUCAAGGGAAUGCUAGAACUAAUAAGUAACUUAGAGCUUGACUUGAAAAAAAAAAAUAAAGCUAUGACUUCACUUUAGAAAAGUUCAGACAAAAAAACAUGAGGCUCUCAGUGUUCAAAAACUGUAACAAGGUAGCAAGUUUCUCUGCUAAUGGAAGUGAUCCAUUCUUGGAAUCUUUAGUGUUCACAAAACAAUUGAAAUAGCAAAAUAAUGAAAAGCCCCUUCAUAAUAAGGAGGUGUGAACCUGCAUGGACUUGUCUAGUAAAAGAACAAUAAUCCCAGAGAACUUGGGGGACUUUAUAGUGACAUUUCACCUCAAACACCUGUUUGCCAGAGGAAAGUUAUUCAGCUUCCCUUGUGAUCAGGAGGUAUGGGCUGCCAGCAAGGCUAUAAAAAGAAAGGAUUGACCAUUUGAGGCAGGUGAUAAUAAUUCAGAAGGCAAUGUUUUAAGAUGACAUUGCUUUUAUAAGCCACCAGCUAUGCCUUGGACUGAGGCCAGUUCUUACAUGUGUUCUGCUCUCUAUUUUUACGUGGUUUUCUAUUAGGUUCACAUGUGUUUCUAUAGCUUGCUACCCCUUCAUUGCGGUUUGUUUGUUUUUGCUAAUUCACACCUAUUUGCUUAUGUACUAUUACUGUAUUGAUAUGAUAAUGCUUCUCAUAAUUUAGGUCUGUCAAGUGAUGGUUUUCUCUGCUUCAAGGAAUUUUAAUAUGGGUAGAUGUUACAAAAAUAUGGGGUGUGGAUGGAUGUAUAAAUGUAGUAUAGUUACCAGUGAAAAGAUAAUUAUUCUGGAUGAAUUGACUGUUAAGGAUAUGAGAUUUAGCUUUAAGUUCUGACUGAAACUAUGACCUUAGGCAGAUCGUUUUAUUUAUCACUGUCAAGAGUACCAUCAGCUUCUAGGAAUCCAGGAUCACCACCGAGAUGUCAUCCUCAAGUCCUCACACAGCUACGAUCCAGUGACACAAGCCUUGCUGUUCCUUGCACAAGCCAUUCCAUCUUCAGACCAUGCAUUUUCAUUGGCUGUCCCUUUUGUCCAGAAUGUUCUCCCCCUUCAUCUCUAAUUCCAGGGUUCAAGUUUCAGCUAAAAUCUCACCUUCCACAACAAUCUUUUUCCCAAUCCCCUUUAAUUCUAGUACCUUUUCUUUGCAAUUCUAGUUUAUCCUGUGUAUGUGUGUGUAUUUGCAUAUAAUUUGUGUUUUCCUGAUUAAAUUGUGAGCGUAUUGAGGUCAGAGACUGGUUUUGA
rnacentral:lncRNA from 1 species